rnacentral:rRNA from 1 species
AGUUUGAUCCUGGCUCAGGAUGAACGCUGGCGGCGUGCUUAACACAUGCAAGUCGAACGAUGAAGCCCAGCUUGCUGGGUGGAUUAGUGGCGAACGGGUGAGUAACACGUGAGUAACCUGCCCUUGACUCUGGGAUAAGCCUGGGAAACUGGGUCUAAUACCGGAUAGGAACGUCCACCGCAUGGUGGGUGUUGGAAAGAUUUAUCGGUCUUGGAUGGACUCGCGGCCUAUCAGCUUGUUGGUGAGGUAAUGGCUCACCAAGGCGACGACGGGUAGCCGGCCUGAGAGGGUGACCGGCCACACUGGGACUGAGACACGGCCCAGACUCCUACGGGAGGCAGCAGUGGGGAAUAUUGCACAAUGGGCGAAAGCCUGAUGCAGCGACGCCGCGUGAGGGAUGACGGCCUUCGGGUUGUAAACCUCUUUCAGUAGGGAAGAAGCGAAAGUGACGGUACCUGCAGAAGAAGCACCGGCUAACUACGUGCCAGCAGCCGCGGUAAUACGUAGGGUGCGAGCGUUAUCCGGAAUUAUUGGGCGUAAAGAGCUCGUAGGCGGUUUGUCGCGUCUGUCGUGAAAGUCCGGGGCUUAACCCCGGAUCUGCGGUGGGUACGGGCAGACUAGAGUGCAGUAGGGGAGACUGGAAUUCCUGGUGUAGCGGUGGAAUGCGCAGAUAUCAGGAGGAACACCGAUGGCGAAGGCAGGUCUCUGGGCUGUAACUGACGCUGAGGAGCGAAAGCAUGGGGAGCGAACAGGAUUAGAUACCCUGGUAGUCCAUGCCGUAAACGUUGGGCACUAGGUGUGGGGACCAUUCCACGGUUUCCGCGCCGCAGCUAACGCAUUAAGUGCCCCGCCUGGGGAGUACGGCCGCAAGGCUAAAACUCAAAGGAAUUGACGGGGGCCCGCACAAGCGGCGGAGCAUGCGGAUUAAUUCGAUGCAACGCGAAGAACCUUACCAAGGCUUGACAUGUUCUCGAUCGCCGUAGAGAUACGGUUUCCCCUUUGGGGCGGGUUCACAGGUGGUGCAUGGUUGUCGUCAGCUCGUGUCGUGAGAUGUUGGGUUAAGUCCCGCAACGAGCGCAACCCUCGUUCCAUGUUGCCAGCACGUAAUGGUGGGGACUCAUGGGAGACUGCCGGGGUCAACUCGGAGGAAGGUG